rnacentral:rRNA from 3 species
GGUUAAGCGACUAAGCGUACACGGUGGAUGCCCUGGCAGUCAGAGGCGAUGAAGGACGUGCUAAUCUGCGAAAAGCGUCGGUAAGGUGAUAUGAACCGUUAUAACCGGCGAUGUCCGAAUGGGGAAACCCAGUGCAAUUCGUUGCACUAUCGUUAACUGAAUACAUAGGUUAACGAGGCGAACCGGGGGAACUGAAACAUCUAAGUACCCCGAGGAAAAGAAAUCAACCGAGAUUCCCCCAGUAGCGGCGAGCGAACGGGGAGCAGCCCAGAGUCUGAAUCAGCUUGUGUGUUAGUGGAACGGUCUGGAAAGUCCGACGGUACAGGGUGAUAGUCCCGUACACCAAAAUGCACAGGCUGUGAACUCGAAGAGUAGGGCGGGACACGUGGUAUCCUGUCUGAAUAUGGGGGGACCAUCCUCCAAGGCUAAAUACUCCUGACUGACCGAUAGUGAACCAGUACCGUGAGGGAAAGGCGAAAAGAACCCCGGCGAGGGGAGUGAAAAAGAACCUGAAACCGUGUACGUACAAGCAGUGGGAGCACCUUCGGGUGUGACUGCGUACCUUUUGUAUAAUGGGUCAGCGACUUAUAUUCUGUAGCAAGGUUAACCGUAUAGGGGAGCCGCAGGGAAACCGAGUCUUAACUGGGCGUUAAGUUGCAGGGUAUAGACCCGAAACCCGGUGAUCUAGCCAUGGGCAGGUUGAAGGUUGGGUAACACUAACUGGAGGACCGAACCGACUAAUGUUGAAAAAUUAGCGGAUGACUUGUGGCUGGGGGUGAAAGGCCAAUCAAACCGGGAGAUAGCUGGUUCUCCCCGAAAGCUAUUUAGGUAGCGCCUCGUGAAUUCAUCUUCGGGGGUAGAGCACUGUUUCGGCUAGGGGGUCAUCCCGACUUACCAACCCGAUGCAAACUACGAAUACCGAAGAAUGUUAUCACGGGAGACACACGGCGGGUGCUAACGUCCGUCGUGAAGAGGGAAACAACCCAGACCGCCAGCUAAGGUCCCAAAGUCAUGGUUAAGUGGGAAACGAUGUGGGAAGGCACAGACAGCCAGGAUGUUGGCUUAGAAGCAGCCAUCAUUUAAAGAAAGCGUAAUAGCUCACUGGUCGAGUCGGCCUGCGCGGAAGAUGUAACGGGGCUAAACCAUGCACCGAAGCUGCGGCAGCGACACUAUGUGUUGUUGGGUAGGGGAGCGUUCUGUAAGCCUGCGAAGGUGACCUGUGAGGGUUGCUGGAGGUAUCAGAAGUGCGAAUGCUGACAUAAGUAACGAUAAAGCGGGUGAAAAGCCCGCUCGCCGGAAGACCAAGGGUUCCUGUCCAACGUUAAUCGGGGCAGGGUGAGUCGACCCCUAAGGCGAGGCCGAAAGGCGUAGUCGAUGGGAAACAGGUUAAUAUUCCUGUACUUGGUGUUACUGCGAAGGGGGGACGGAGAAGGCUAUGUUAGCCGGGCGACGGUUGUCCCGGUUUAAGCAUGUAGGCUGGUUAUCCAGGCAAAUCCGGAUAAUCAAGGCUGAGGUGUGAUGACGAGGCACUACGGUGCUGAAGUAACAAAUGCCCUGCUUCCAGGAAAAGCCUCUAAGCAUCAGGUAACAUCAAAUCGUACCCCAAACCGACACAGGUGGUCAGGUAGAGAAUACCAAGGCGCUUGAGAGAACUCGGGUGAAGGAACUAGGCAAAAUGGUGCCGUAACUUCGGGAGAAGGCACGCUGGUGUGUAGGUGAAGUCCCUGCGGAUGGAGCUGAGACCAGUCGAAGAUACCAGCUGGCUGCAACUGUUUAUUAAAAACACAGCACUGUGCAAACACGAAAGUGGACGUAUACGGUGUGACGCCUGCCCGGUGCCGGAAGGUUAAUUGAUGGGGUUAUCCGUAAGGAGAAGCUCUUGAUCGAAGCCCCGGUAAACGGCGGCCGUAACUAUAACGGUCCUAAGGUAGCGAAAUUCCUUGUCGGGUAAGUUCCGACCUGCACGAAUGGCGUAAUGAUGGCCAGGCUGUCUCCACCCGAGACUCAGUGAAAUUGAACUCGCUGUGAAGAUGCAGUGUACCCGCGGCAAGACGGAAAGACCCCGUGAACCUUUACUAUAGCUUGACACUGAACAUUGAGCCUUGAUGUGUAGGAUAGGUGGGAGGCUUUGAAGCGUGGACGCCAGUCUGCGUGGAGCCAACCUUGAAAUACCACCCUUUAAUGUUUGAUGUUCUAACGUUGGCCCCUUACCGGGGUUGCGGACAGUGUCUGGUGGGUAGUUUGACUGGGGCGGUCUCCUCCCAAAGCGUAACGGAGGAGCACGAAGGUUAGCUAAUCCUGGUCGGACAUCAGGAGGUUAGUGCAAUGGCAUAAGCUAGCUUGACUGCGAGCGUGACGGCGCGAGCAGGUGCGAAAGCAGGUCAUAGUGAUCCGGUGGUUCUGAAUGGAAGGGCCAUCGCUCAACGGAUAAAAGGUACUCCGGGGAUAACAGGCUGAUACCGCCCAAGAGUUCAUAUCGACGGCGGUGUUUGGCACCUCGAUGUCGGCUCAUCACAUCCUGGGGCUGAAGUAGGUCCCAAGGGUAUGGCUGUUCGCCAUUUAAAGUGGUACGCGAGCUGGGUUUAGAACGUCGUGAGACAGUUCGGUCCCUAUCUGCCGUGGGCGCUGGAGAAUUGAGGGGGGCUGCUCCUAGUACGAGAGGACCGGAGUGGACGCAUCACUGGUGUUCGGGUUGUCAUGCCAAUGGCACUGCCCGGUAGCUAAAUGCGGAAGAGAUAAGUGCUGAAAGCAUCUAAGCACGAAACUUGCCCCGAGAUGAGUUCUCCCUGAGACUUUAAGUCUCCUGAAGGAACGUUAAAGACGAUGACGUUGAUAGGCCGGGUGUGUAAGCGCAGCGAUGCGUUGAGCUAACCGGUACUAAUGAACCGUGAGGCUUAACCUU